AAAUUACUGAAAUUACUUAUCAAUUAGAAUCUCAAGGAUGUGCCAAUAGAACAAUCAAGCAUAUUCCAGUCAAGUUUCAUGGGCCAUUGGUAAGGAUGAGAUGGAAAGUCUUUGUCAAUUAGUGCAAUACUUUGACCCAUUUAAUUUUUUUUUUUCCCUCUUUUUUAAUUUGAGAUGUUUCAAUUUUUAAUACAAAAGGAUGGUGAUCAACCAUUGCAUCAGCCUGAUCUGGAUUUCUUCCCCUUAACCUUUUCAGUCGUAUAGAUGGAGAUCUCCCUCACCAUGCUACAGAACUCAUGCCAUGGCUCAUCCCCAAACAACAUCAUGUCACCUUCAUCAUCAGUAUAGACAACCUUCCAUUUCUCUGUGGAUCCUAUGAGUUCACCUUCAAUUUCAAACAUCUUUUCCAGUUGUCUUAGCAGGUCCUCAUGGCAUUCUAACUGUGUCAAAUCAACUGAUCUUCUAACAGCAAUACCUUGCAUCUUAACCUUGAUUCUCUUCCUGAUCUGUCUGCCUUCAAUUUCCUGAGGUACCUGGCACGGUUUCUGAGGCUCACAAUUUGUUGCACGUAUUUCAGACCGACAAAUAAUGUUCGAUGUUUCAGAAUGCUGGCCAGAGUCGGCAUCUAAAGAUAGAACUGGGCAAGCAUCCCCCACUUUUCGAGGUUCUUCAUCAGCAGCAGAGGCAGAAGACUCUAUAAGAGUAGCCUCUGAACUAAAUCCACUAAAACCCAGAGAGCUUGUCUUUGAAGUGGCAGAGGAACUGGAUGAUGAAUCAAGAUCAUAAUAGGAGAAAGCACGAGAUUCAAGGGGGAAUACCCACAUACCAUAGUCCAAUGUAGAUGACCCCCGAAGAGAAAACUCUGGCCGCUUCUUCCCUUGCCCAGGGAGGGAGUUUGGAGGAGUUACUGCAACAGGUAGUUCUACUUCCCAUGGCGAAACGCUUUCUGGACGCGAGAUUGAAGAAGCUUCAUCCCAUUGAACCUUUAAGCAUCUCCACCUAGAACCAGGCCAUCUUGAUGAUACAUCUUCAAUGCCCACAAUUGUGCCAUUGAAGCUCUGUUCAAGAACUUGCUCAACCUCAAAUCUCAUCUUAAACCUUUUCCCGAUGGAAAACACAUUUUUCUGAGCUUCAAGGUACUUGUUGACACUGACAAUGAAAUCAGACCUACUUGUUCUGGGUCUGUAAAGGAUAGUGAAAAGAGUUCCAGUCGCCAUGGCAUGUGAAGCACUAGCAAGAACCUCAACGUGCAUGUUUUCACUAGAUGUAACAGAAGAUAUAUUUAUCUCUUGUCUCAUGAGCCUCCUUACUCCAACCUGAAGCCUUCCAUUUUCUCCCCUUAGAAAGAUGAAAACAUCGCCUGCUGCUAACUUUUUUGAGCUAACAAAUGAACUCCACCCAGUUGUGAGUAAGUGGCGCUUAGGUUUACCCCGGAAAAUGUGUCGGAAAUGCCACUUGUUUCUAUGCAGAUCAGUUGCAACCAAUUCCUGCCUAGGUGGCUGCUGGGACAUAUCCAAUGGAGGAAGACAGUCCUCUGCAUGCUUUCGAUAAAUAAAUAAACAGCCACGGGUGCUUGUGUCUGAAGCAGUAAGAGUUUUGUGAAAUGAAUGAGUUGUGUAUGUUUCUGGUUCUGGAAGUGGAGGAUCAGGGCUGGUAAUUUCUGCUUGAUCUAGUUCAGGAAGUAGAACUAUUUGUGCAUAAACUUUGUCAGUUUCAGGUUCAGCCAUACGUUGAACAUAAAUCACUCUACAAAGAAUUUUAGAUGGAAGAUCAGAUAGGGGCAUUUGCUGUUCUAACUCCGGAUAUACCGGAACUCCAAGCUCUUGUUCUAUGUGACCUUGUGGAAAA
rnacentral:misc_RNA from 1 species